UCGUGGGGUGACUUGUCUGCUUAAUUGCGAUAACGAACGAGACCUUAACCUACUAAAUAGCCAGGCUAGCUUUGGCUGGUCGCCGGCUUCUUAGAGGGACUUUCGGCUCAAGCCGAAGGAAGUUUGAGGCAAUAACA
rnacentral:rRNA from 1 species